AGUUGAUACAUUUGGCGGUUUCCUCCCAGUUCCCGCCGCACCAGCUGUUCCCCUUUGGAGGUAUUACCUCCACACUUCAUGGGCCACGGUUUCCGCAGGCCCAUUUCU
rnacentral:sRNA from 1 species